rnacentral:rRNA from 1 species
CAGUCGCCGCGGUAAUACAGAGGGUGCAAGCGUUAAUCGGAAUUACUGGGCGUAAAGCGCGCGUAGGUGGUUUGUUAAGUUGGAUGUGAAAGCCCCGGGCUCAACCUGGGAACUGCAUCCAAAACUGGCAAGCUAGAGUACGGUAGAGGGUGGUGGAAUUUCCUGUGUAGCGGUGAAAUGCGUAGAUAUAGGAAGGAACACCAGUGGCGAAGGCGACCACCUGGACUGAUACUGACACUGAGGUGCGAAAGCGUGGGGAGCAAACAGGAUUAGAGACCCCUGUAGUCCCUGUCUCUUAUAC